rnacentral:rRNA from 1 species
GGGAGCCUACGGGACGCAGCAGUGGGGAAUAUUGGUCAAUGGGCGGAAGCCUGAACCAGCCACGUCGCGUGAGGGAAUAAGGCCCUACGGGUCGUAAACCUCUUUUGCCGGGGAGCAAGGGCCGGGACGCGUCCCGGCCCGGAGAGUACCCGGAGAAAAAGCAUCGGCUAACUCCGCGCCAGCAGCCGCGGUAAUACGGAGGAUGCGAGCGUUAUCCGGAUUUAUUGGGUUUA